AAUGUAUAGAUACCUACUUAAAAUUUCUUUCAGAUUAAGUUUUGAAAUAUUAACAUAAAAAGUAUAUUCGUCGUAAUCGCUUCGGAAUUACAUUGGCACCAAGAAGAAUAUACUUUAGUAAAAUUACUGAACACUAUUCUUAUUUCAUAUUUGAUCCAUUUCCAAACUUAAAAACUUUGAUGAGUCAGGCUUUAACAAAGAAAAAAAAAUUAAGCUCAUUACCGACACUUACAUAAUUAGAUAUUAAUAUUAUACCUUUAAUUUAUCCGUACAUUAUAAUACUGUUUCAUACUUUUACAGAUUUUUAAUUGGGAAGAUACGAAAAAUGGCUCAGACAGUUCUGUAUUAUUAGAAAAUUUUUUUUCCAUACAUCAACCCUAGUACUUGUCGACAAUUUUAUCAUAGAAAAGGAACUGCAGCAUUUGUGACUUACGAUAAGUUUUGUGCCGAAUCAGAAGAUGUUAAUGAUAUUACCGGAGCAGGUAUAAGCUUUUUACAUGGUAAUUCAUAUUAUUUAACCGGGGUACUGAGUCUCGUUCAUAUAGACACGUACUAUAAAGUCCCAGUUUUUACAGACAUUAAGUACCAUGUUCCAUGGAUUCGUGGGAUUUUAAACAAACACAUUUGACAGAUCAUAGUGAAUUCAUGCGUUUUACCAAGUUUCGAAGGAGUUGUAUAUUAUUAUGAAGGUUCUAAUGACAUUUUAUCUCACGGGACAUUGAUUAAUCGUCAUCGAACUGUUAUUGAGAAUUGUGAACUUGGAUAUCAUAAGGCUUAUCCCAAUGGUUUUAGGUUAUGCCUGGGAAAAGGAAAAUGGUUAUCGAGUUCUGAGAAAUUGUGUUUCAAAAUGUGUCCACCUCUAGAAUCAGAUAGUUUAGAUAUAUAUUUAAUGUAGUCAUAACAGUCACUAUGCUAAUUGUUUAAAUCUAUCAAUACCUGGUACAAUAGCAAUACCAUCGUGUAAGCCAACGUAUGUUGCACUAAAUGGUCAAGAAGAGACUCCGCUUGAAUUACGUUGUCAGUCUAAUGGGAUGUGGAACAAACAACUAUAUAGAUGCAAACCAUGUAAUUGUACCGUUUAUCAUUUAAACAUAAGUCUCUAGUAUAUAUUUAUUAUUUAUUUAAUUAACAUCAAAUAUAUCCAAACGCUUUUGUUUGUAUCUAAUACAAAUGUUAAAAUUAAGGGUAAUCGUUUUUUUUAUUGAUCGAAGUAUUGAUCGAAAAUGGUGAAAAAGCACUUGUUGGAACUGCACCUUGGAAUGUUGGAAUAUAUCGAUUCAACCGAAAAAAAUCCAUUCAUGAAAUUAUAUGUGGAGGAACAGUUAUUGCUCCAAAUUUAGUCAUUUCUGCUGCUCAUUGUUUUUGGAAUAAAGAUUUGCCAUCUAAAGUAAUAUCAAUAAAUGAUGGUCAAUUCAAAAUUGCUCUUGGAAAAUAUGAUAGAAAUUUUACAAUAAUUGACAAUAAAUUUACUCAAAUAAUCAAUGUAGAAAUGAUUCAUGUGCAUGAGGGUUAUUACGGAUCAAAAAGAGUCAAUGUAAUAUAGAAAAUGGUUGUUGGUUGGGGAAGAACGGAAAAAGGCAUUCCAAGUCAUUAUACAUUUUUAAUAAUUUAUACAAUUGUCAAUUUAAAUAACAAUUAUAGUUACUUAUGUAUGUCAUAAUACGUCAUAGGUAGUACAUUAUCUAAUCAUUAUAUAAAAAAUUGACACAUAUUGAAUUUAAACAGAUUUUAUCAUAUACUAAUUUUGCAUUGUACAUUGAUUGUUUCAUAAUCAUUCCUAGUUA